CCAUUUGAACCAAAGAAGUUAGUGAGUGUCUUUCUGCAGCGAUGAGGGGAGGUUUUUCUGAUGUUUGAAGUGAGCUGUGAAGGGAAUUUUCCAGCUCUGGGAGAGACAGUUUUUUCAGGAUCAAGACUCCAGAUGCCAGAGCAUCAAGAAUACAAAAAAUAUGAAAGUACAGUCAACUGAGGGGAACUUCCAAGCCAGUGAAUGACAGCAUCAGGAAGUCAUGAGUGGCAGGUCAUCUUCCUGCCCCUUCUCUGCAUGCACCAAUCCACCAGCAGGUCCGCAAUUUCUGGUAUUAGCCCAAUUUGUGACUGAGGAUUCUCACCUAUGGAUAGACUUCUCCAUGUUCACGUGCUAUCAGGUCCUGGGCUGGGACUUGAACUCAUGCAUUUCUGAGCUCAAAGCACAACCGUCUGCAACAUUCUUCUGCCUCCGAGAGACAAUGUUGUGCUGGUCUUCAUGCUUUGUGAACUCAGAGCCUGAGUUGAAUCCAGAGUCAGCAAACCACCUCCCACAGGAAAAUCUUACCAGCUGCUUGUUGUGUAUGGCCCGUGAGAAAUUACACCCAAGCACUUUUAUCGUGGACCCAUUUAAACAAAGAGGAUAUGAGAAUAACUGACGGCACUUGACAGUACUUCUGGGAAAGUUUCAGAAGAAUGAAUCAUAACCAAGUUCCAAGAAACAGCAGGGCUGGUUGCCAUAAACAACUUCAUGUGUGAAACAAGGAAUGGAUAUUCCCUGAUAUUUUUUAAAUGUCGAGGUGAAAAAUGAAGAUGAUAGUUAUGAAUGUGGGGGUUGAUUCUGAGAAAUAAAAGACUGAAAUGAGGAGUAAAACCAAAACACCUUUUUCCCAAGAUAGAAUAGACUGUGCAGCUGAGUUUUGCAGCAAGAAGAGA
rnacentral:lncRNA from 1 species